rnacentral:lncRNA from 1 species
GUCACAAGGAGCCUGAUGGAUGGACCUGUCAUUGUCAACACAACAUGGCAUUAGAUAAGUGAAAUGCAUCUUUUUGUGUUGCACAUCAAAAUUGUAGAUGCUGCCUUGCUUGAAAUUAAGAUAAUUGUCCCUCAAACCCUGAGAGAGAACUCAACUGGUCAGGUUUUUAGUUUGUUUCCCAAUGGUCACGAGUUCGAGUCCCUUUAGGGCCACUGAAGAUUUACAUGGUUGUUAACUUCAGGACCCGUAGGAUUUGUCGAGAUGCACAAGCUGACCUGAACACCUAUUAAUAAAAACAAAAAAAUUGUCUGUCACCAUCACUCAAAAUGGGUCACAAGGAGCCUGAUGGAUGGACCUGUCAUUGUCAACACAACAUGGCAUUAGAUAAGUGAAAUGCAUCUUUUUGUGUUGCACAUCAAAAUUGUAGAAGCAUUUGAGCUUAAAACGCAUCUGAUUUAAGCUUCUAGACCCAAUCUGUUGAAACUCAGGACAAUCCAAUUUGUGAAUUCUGGGGAAAAUAGAGCAAUGAAUUGAAAAAGAAAAUUGUUUUGCUGAAUUAUCUUGUAGACUGAAGGAAACAUGCUCAAACACUACGUUUUUAACUUAAAUCCAUUGCUCCCUGAAUUUCCUUCUAAAUCAUGUCACAAACUCAUUUUCCCCAUUUAAUGGUCUUCUUCUGAGGACUAGGGGAAGGAAAAAGAUGAGUUGUGCACCAGAAAGGGAAAACUAGUAAACAAAGUAAACCUGAG